GACGAACGCUGGCGGCGUGCCUAACACAUGCAAGUCGAGCGAAAAGACCAGGAGCUUGCUCCUCUGACGUUAGCGGCGGACGGGAGAGUCACAUGUGUAUAACCUACCUAUCAGACUGGGAUCAUUACGGGAAACGGGCUCUAAUACCGGAUAACAUGUUGCACCGCGUGGGUCAACAGUGAAAGUCGGUGUUGUUGUAAGUUGUAGCUGGAUACGGGGCGUAUUAGCUGGUUGGUGGGGUAGGGGCUUACCAAGGCAAGGAGGGGUAGCCGGGCUGAGAGGGGAAGAGGCCACAGUGGGACGGAGAUGAGGCCCAGACUAGUAUGGGAGGCAGCAGUGGGGAAUAGUACACUAGGGGAGGAAGGCUGAUGCAGCAACGCAGUGUGCGGGAAGACGGGAUUGGGGUUGUAAACCGAUGUCGCCUGUGACGAAGCGUGAGUGACGGUAAUGGGUAAAGAAGCACCGGCUAACUACGUG
rnacentral:rRNA from 1 species